rnacentral:rRNA from 1 species
UACGAAGGGGGCUAGCGUUGCUCGGAAUCACUGGGCGUAAAGGGUGCGUAGGCGGGUCUUUAAGUCAGGGGUGAAAUCCUGGAGCUCAACUCCAGAACUGCCUUUGAUACUGAGGAUCUUGAGUCCGGGAGAGGUGAGUGGAACUGCGAGUGUAGAGGUGAAAUUCGUAGAUAUUCGCAAGAACACCAGUGGCGAAGGCGGCUCACUGGCCCGAUACUGACGCUGAGGUGCGAAAGCGUGGGGAGCAAACAGG